rnacentral:rRNA from 1 species
CCUACGGGAGGCAGCAGUGGGGAAUAUUGGGCAAUGGAGGAAACUCUGACCCAGCGACGCCGCGUGCGGGAUGAAGGCCUUCGGGUUGUAAACCGCUUUCAGCAGGGAAGAAGCGAAAGUGACGGUACCUGCAGAAGAAGCACCGGCUAACUAUGUGCCAGCAGCCGCGGUAAUACAUAGGGUGCAAGCGUUGUCCGGAAUUAUUGGGCGUAAAGAGCUCGUAGGUGGUUCGUCACGUCGGAUGUGAAACUCUGGGGCUUAACCCCAGACCUGCAUUCGAUACGGGCGAGCUUGAGUAUGGUAGGGGAGUCUGGAAUUCCUGGUGUAGCGGUGGAAUGCGCAGAUAUCAGGAGGAACACCAAUGGCGAAGGCAGGACUCUGGGCCAUUACUGACACUGAGGAGCGAAAGCGUGGGGAGCGAACAGGAUUAGAUACCCUGGUAGUCCACGCCGUAAACGGUGGGCACUAGUUGUGGGGACCUUCCACGGUCUCUGCGACGCNGCUACGCAUAGUGCCCGCCGUCGGGAGGACGAGCGCGAGAGUAAACUACAAUUAGAGUAGUUAGGCGUGNGACGNGCGACGGACGACGACGAGGGAGGAGG